GCGCCCGCCCCCACUGGACCCCAGGGACAAGUCCACCAGCACUCCAGGUAGGAUGCUGGGUGGACAUUUAAAAAAAAAAUUAAAAUAUAAUAAUUUGUGUGUGUGUCUGUGAGUGUGUGAGUAUGUGUCAGUGUGUGUCUGUGAGUGUGUGUAUGUGUCAGUGUGUGUCUGUGAGUGUGUGUCAGUGAGUGAGUGUGUGUGUGUGUCAGUGUGUGUGUCAGUGUGUGUGUGAGUGUGUCAGUGUGUGUCAGUGAGUGUGUGUGUGUGUGUGUCAGUGUGUGAGUGUGUCAGUGUGUGUCUGUGAGUGUGUGAGUAUGUGUCUGUGAGUGUGUGUGUCAGUGAGUGUGUGAGUGUGUGUCAGUGUGUGUCUGUGAGUGUGUGAGUAUGUGUCUGUGAGUGUGUGUCAGUGUGUGUCUGUGAGUGUGUGAGUAUGUGUCUGUGAGUGUGUGUGUCAGUGAGUGUGUGAGUAUGUGUCAGUGUGUGUGUCUGUGAGUGUGUGAGUAUGUGUCUGUGAGUGUGUGUCAGUGUGUGUCUGUGAGUGUGUGUCAGUGUGUGUCUGUGAGUGUGUGAGUAUGUGUCUGUGAGUGUGUGUGUCAGUGAGUGUGUGAGUAUGUGUCAGUGUGUGUGUGUCAGUGAGUGUGUGUGUUUCUGUGAGUGU